CCUCGCCCAGCGUGGCGCGCUGGCGGCCUCCGCAGCCGAGGCUGUGCGCUCCGGUGCUCUGGCGCUGGGCUCGGGCGCGCCCGUGAACAGCGCGGUUUCACACCCAAAGGCACCGUAGUAAAGUGAAGCUAAAAGCCAAAUUGUGCAGGAAGGGGUGGGGGGGAAGGCAGAAGAGUGAGAGGAAAAAUAAGUUUCGGGACAGAACCGAGUGGAGGAAAAAAGAAGUGCUCGCUCCGACGUGUUUGCGUGGCUGCAUGCAAACUGAAACGGACGUACCAUCUCUUCAGCAUUUAAGUAUUCUUCAGUAUCCAGAAAUGCAGUUCAUCAUGUCUCAUCUUUUGUUUGAUUGUUUAUGCGUUAUGCAGGAUCUGAAAAGUCUCUCUUGCGGAGAUCAGCUAUCAAAGCGAAGACUGCUGCUCCUGUGCUGCCUGUGGCCUGCAGCAUUGCUGAUGUCUGUCCAGGAUACUGACAGCUUUUUCUAGAAUAAUGAAUAGGAAUCACUAAAGGACCAGUUUGGGGGCGUUUGGAAGUACCUUCUAAUUUUCCAAGUGUUUGAGCCACAUUUGUUCAUAUCCUACAGCUGAAUCUCUACUGUCUACAGGUAUCUCUAUUGAUUUUGCUCAAUGACGGAAUCAGAUAUGUCACUUUGUCUUGCUUUCUCGGCACUGCAGCUCUGCAGUGAGCUGAAAUAAAGUGUUAAGAUUUGCAAGGCUGACUUGGCA
rnacentral:lncRNA from 1 species